GACGAACGCUGGCGGCGUGCCUAAUACAUGCAAGUCGAGCGGACGGAUGGGAGCUUGCUUCCAGACCGUCAGCGGCGGACGGGUGAGUAACACGUGGGCAACCUGCCUGUAAGACUGGGAUAACUCCGGGAAACCGGGGCUAAUACCGGAUAACUCUUUCCCUCACAUGAGGGAAAGCUGAAAGAUGGCAUCUCGCUAUCACUUACAGAUGGGCCCGCGGCGCAUUAGCUAGUUGGUGAGGUAACGGCUCACCAAGGCGACGAUGCGUAGCCGACCUGAGAGGAUGAUCGGCCACACUGGGACUGAGACGCGGCCAAGACUCCUACGGGAGGCAGCAGUAGGGAAUCUUACGCAAUGGACGAAAGGCUGACGGAGCAACGCCGCGUGAGUGAUGAAGGUUUUCGGAUCGUAAAACUCUGUUGUCAGGGAAGAACAAGUACCGGAGUAACUGCCGGUACCUUGACGGUACCUGACCAGAAGGCCACGGCUAACUACGUG
rnacentral:rRNA from 1 species